GAGCAACAGAGAAGUCAGAGGCCUGGGCCCCUGACACCAGUAUCCCAGGUCCCAGCUUGUCAUAGCCAAGGGCAUCAGGGCCAGCAGGGAAGCAAGGGUCACGAAACAGGAUCCCGGAAUCCAGGCAAGCUGCUCGGAUGGCUUCGUAGUUCUGACCCUUAAAGAGCUGUGGGCCCCCAGCUCCAGCCGCGGCCCCGUCGUCCACCAGCUGGAUAGUGACCUUCCUGUUGCCACUCGCCAUCCGGACACUCUGGGCACACAGAAGGACCCAAGCCCUUUAACCUCCUGAGUCAUGAGGCGGGGCUUCUGUUCCAUUUGUACCCUGUUGGGGGUCUUUAAGCAUGGAGG
rnacentral:lncRNA from 1 species